UACGUAGGGUGCGAGCGUUAAUCGGAAUUACUGGGCGUAAAGCGUGCGCAGGCGGUUGUGCAAGACCGAUGUGAAAUCCCCGGGCUUAACCUGGGAACUGCAUUUGUGACUGCACAGCUGGAGUGCGGCAGAGGGGGAUGGAAUUCCGCGUGUAGCAGUGAAAUGCGUAGAUAUGCGGAGGAACACCGAUGGCGAAGGCAAUCCCCUGGGCCUGCACUGACGCUCAUGCACGAAAGCGUGGGGAGCAAACAGG
rnacentral:rRNA from 1 species